rnacentral:rRNA from 1 species
CUACGGGAGGCAGCAGUCGAGAAUUUUUCACAAUGGGCGCAAGCCUGAUGGAGCGACGCCGCGUGGGGGAUGAAGGGCUUCGGUCCGUAAACCCCUGUCAUUUGCGAACAAACCUUGUUAUUUAAAAGAUGACGAGCUGAUGGUAGCGAAAGAGGAAGGGACGGCUAACUCUGUGCCAGCAGCCGCGGUAAUACAGAGGUCCCGAGCGUUGUUCGGAUUCACUGGGCGUAAAGGGUGCGUAGGUGGUGAGGUAAGUCGGAUGUGAAAUACUGGAGCUCAACUCCGGAACGGCAUUGGAAACUACCUUGCUAGAGGAUUGGAGGGGGGACUGGAAUUCUCGGUGUAGCAGUGAAAUGCGUAGAGAUCGAGAGGAACACCAGUGGCGAAGGCGAGUCCCUGGACAAUACCUGACGCUGAGGCACGAAAGCUAGGGGAGCAAACAGGAUUAGAUACCCCGGUAGUCC